UUCCUCUUAGAAUAGGAGGUAAAGCCUGCUCACUGAAAAUUAAAGAGCCGCAGUAUUUUGACUGUGCUAAGGUAGCAUAAUCAUUAGUCUUUUAAUUGGAGACUGGUAUGAAUGGCUAAACGAGAAAUCUUCUUUUUUUAUUAUAAAUAUCGAAUUUAUUUUUUUAGUGAAAAAACUAAAAUAUUCCUGAAAGACGAGAAGACCCUAUAGAGUUUUAUAUAGUAAACUAUCAUAUUGUAUUAGAUCUGANUCGAUUUGAUUUUAUUCUGUAAUUUGUUGGGGCGACAUUAAGAUAAAAAAAACUCUUUUUUAUAAAAACUUUGAUAAAUGAAUAACUUGAUCCUUUAAAAAAGAUAAUAAGAUAAAAUUACCUUAGGGAUAACAGCGUAAUCUUUUUUGAGAGUUCUAAUCGACAAAAAGGUUUGCGACCUCGAUGUUGGACUAAAAUUUAGAUGUGGUGCAGCAGCUACAUUUUAGGGUCUGUUCGACCCAUAAUAUUUUACAUGAUCUGAGUUCAGACCG
rnacentral:rRNA from 1 species